rnacentral:rRNA from 1 species
GUGGGGAAUAUUGGGCAAUGGGGGAAACCCUGACCCAGCGACGCCGCGUGAGGGAAGAAGGCCUUAGGGUCGUAAACCUCUGUUGUGUGGGAAGAAGAGCGUGACGGUACCACACGAGGAAGUCCCGGCUAACUACGUGCCAGCAGCCGCGGUAAUACGUAGGGGACGAGCGUUGUCCGGAUUUACUGGGCGUAAAGGGCGCGUAGGCGGUCAUUUAAGUCAGCUGUGAAAUGGUUUGGCUUAACCGGAUCAUGCGGUUGAAACUGGAUGACUGGAGUGCUGGAGAGGCAAGUGGAAUUCCCAGUGUAGCGGUGAAAUGCGUAGAUAUUGGGAAGAACACCGGUGGCGAAGGCGACUUGCUGGCCAGCAACUGACGCUGAGGCGCGAAAGCCAGGGGAGCAAACGGGAUUAGAUACCCCUGUAGUCC